CGGAGGGUGCAAGCGUUAUCCGGAUUCACUGGGUUUAAAGGGUGCGUAGGUGGGCAGGUAAGUCAGUGGUGAAAUCUCCGGGCUUAACCCGGAAACUGCCGUUGAUACUAUCUGUCUUGAAUGUAGUGGAGGUGAGCGGAAUAUGUCAUGUAGCGGUGAAAUGCUUAGAUAUGACAUAGAACACCUAUUGCGAAGGCAGCUCGCUACACUAUUAUUGACACUGAGGCACGAAAGCGUGGGGAUCAAACAGGAUUAGAUACCCUGGUAGUCCACGCCCUAAACGAUGGAUACUCGACAUCAGCGAUACACAGUUGGUGUCUGAGCGAAAGCAUUAAGUAUCCCACCUGGGAAGUACGACCGCAAGGUUG
rnacentral:rRNA from 1 species